CGACGACGGUUAAUUUAUAAAUGUGCCUCUGAAAUGUGUGCACUGUAUGUUAUAGGAAAAAAGUCAAGUUGAUGUGGCAUCAUAUUUAUUUUUAGCCAGCAAAAACUAUAGAAGAUAUUACAGAGAGAAUAUAAACCGUGUCGGAAAGGAAAACACACACUUAAGAAAAGAAGAAGAAAAAAAAAUGCAAAGAUAACAAAGCACAGCGCACGGUGUGUUUAUCAGUUUUAUAUAUUUUUUCAAUCAAGAUUUUUGAGAUUUGUUUGGAUCGCUACGAAUUCCGUACGUGUUUUUUGUUUGAAAAUUUGAGGUUUUUUCGGGUAAUUAGUGUUUUUAAUGAGCUCUAACCGAGGCAACAUGAUCGAUUCGAAUUAAAUGGAGGUGUGUGAAUGGUGUUGGUAUAAGGUCGAAAAUGAGGUGACAAAAUUGGAGUGAAUAUCCUUUCCAGUUACACUAUUACACUACGAUUGCACAGAAGUCAUGAACAAUAUUUGGACAAAGAAAAUUCCCUGACACAUUUGAUAUCGAUUUUUCACGAAAAUGAAAAUAGAACCAGAAGGUCAUAUCAAAUAUACCUAACCAACAACCAAAAAACAUGUAAAAUUUAAGAUGAGAGCAACAAAAAAAUUUUGUAACGAACGGUUCAUCAAUUAAAGUUAAUUGCAAACAUUAUUUUUAUAUUAUUUAUUCCUGGCGAUGACGUAGCGGUCAAACUCUCAGUGGUGUAAUACACACUGAAGUGCCCAGAUUUAUUGAACACAGUCAAUGCAGUAGAUUUGUAUUUUUCAAAUGUAAAAACAUUUCGAUUAACAGAAAAUCAGUUUACACUUCUCUACCACACCCAAAAAAAAUUAUAAUCGCAGUCACCGAUUACAUAUUAAAUUCGAUUGCGUAAAAUGCCGGGCCGGUUAUAGAAAUUUUUAUUUUAAAUGAUUGUGGGUUUUUUCAUUGCUUCGCUCAGGAUGGUUGAAAGAGUGUGAAAAUUUCACAUGUCGAAUGGUCAGAAAAACAUAACGAAAAAAUAAACUCACCAACAAAUAAAAAAUAUCCAAAGUUAUCACAUAAAUGCACGGUCACACUUAAAGCACACAAUUGUUUGGUUGAAACAAAAUUUCCAAUUUUUGUUCUUAGUUCAAAUUUACAAAAUUCAAUGGCAAAACGAGAUGAUACAAAACGCGAAGCAAGCAACGCCCAUACGUACUAUUUUUCCUGCACAGCGACAAAACCGAUUUUUAUCUCUUUGAAUUCGAACGCGAUGAUUGAAAUUACGGCGAAUUUUCACUUGCGACGAUCACAUCAACCACUUAGAACGAUCGAUUUGCCAAGUUUACACUUAUUACGAUGAAUUUCCGAUUGAAAUUCUGAUAAUUAUAAUCCAUUUAAAUCCUUAAUGUGUGAUUUCAUGAAUCUCGACACUUCGUUCGUUGGUUCUC